ensembl:snRNA U6 U6 spliceosomal RNA
GUGCUCGCUUCAGCAGCACAUAUACUAAAACCGGAAUGACAGAGACAAUUAGCAUGGCCCCUGCACAGGAGGACACACAAAUCCGUGAAGCAUUCCAUAUUGUA